rnacentral:rRNA from 1 species
ACAGCAGCAGCCACGGUAAAACAGAGGGUGCGAGCGUUAAUCGGAUUUACUGGGCGUAAAGCGUGCGUAGGCGGCUUUUUAAGUCGGAUGUGAAAUCCCUGAGCUUAACUUAGGAAUUGCAUUCGAUACUGGGAAGCUAGAGUAUGGGAGAGGAUGGUAGAAUUCCAGGUGUAGCGGUGAAAUGCGUAGAGAUCUGGAGGAAUACCGAUGGCGAAGGCAGCCAUCUGGCCUAAUACUGACGCUGAGGUACGAAAGCAUGGGGAGCAAACAGGAUUAGAUACCCCGGUAGUCCCUGUCUCUUAUAC